rnacentral:lncRNA from 1 species
UACCUCUCUUCACCUCCCACCAACCCCAACCGCCCUUGGCUAAGUAGUUGGUUUGAAAAAGUUUGGAUUUCCUCACUGAGCUGGUCCCGCGGACAGCGGUUCUCGAGACUAGGGGACCGGGAAGGGGCGGCUGUCGAGCUCUGGCCGGGCCAGCGCUGAUGCGAGAGUUUCCGGGGAGUCCCGCCAGGUCCUUCCCCAGACACCUGAAGAGAUGGGGGAAGGAGAAUCAAUUUGGAGAGCCAAGUUUGCCUGACAUUUUGGAGCACACAUUUACCCAGGACCCCAAGUUCCUUGUAGCUGCUAAAUGCUGUACUAGUUCUAAAAUGUAAAUUAGCUUCAAGGCAAGUGGAGAGAAGCCUUAGACUAUUCUGAGAUAUUUGUUCAUUCAUUUCUUUGCUUUGAGAAAGAAUCCUCCCAACGUGAUGGGAAAGAUAUCUCUGGGCCACAUUAUGGCUUCUGGCAGCAACUCUCAUCCUUAGUGCCUAGAUCUGGAGCCCCCACCAACCCUUUGUCCCCAAGUUACAUUUCCUUAGUCCAGGCCUAUUCCACCAUUUCAUCUUCUUUCUCCCUUCCUCGCUGAGGGGCAGAGGCCGCCUUUCUUUUGCCCAAGCUGAGAGGGAGAAUUCCUGAUCCCUAGGAAAAAUGCUGUCUCCACUCCCAAGGAACUUUGUGUAGUUUAGGAAUUGCAUUUUGUAAAAUCAAAUUGCCUGUUGCAAUUUGCACUUGGUUUGUGGUUAUUCAUCUAGUUAUUUCCUAGUGAGGGGGUGGGAGGAAAGGGCUUUGACAUUAAAACAAAGCAUAGGGCCUCCCUUUCCUCCCUUUUUUCUUUCCCCACCAACAAGAUAGAGUGGGAGUGAAUUAGACUAACUGCUGGUUUGGACGUGAAUGGCAGACUAUGGUCUGCAAACUGGAGGCCAAAUCUGGCCCAUAGCCUGUUGUAUUUGUAUGGCCCCAGGAGCCAAGAAUGGUUUUAUUUUAUUUUAUUUUUAAAACAUCUUUAAAGGGUUAGAGAGCAGAAGUAGAAAAAGAAGGACAAAAAAGGGGGGGAAUUUAUGCUACAGAUACUGAAUGUGGUUUGAAAACCCUAAAAUAAUAUUUUAUAUCUGGCCCUUUACAGAAAAAGUUUGCCGACCCCUGGACUAGGGGUUGGACUGUAGUGUCAGCAGAGGCUAGGUAUUCUUGACCAGUAGAUUUUAUCCACCAUCACCCUCCUAGAUUUCCAGCUUCAUUUUGCAUAUGGCUUGAUUUUUUUUCCCCCAGCCCCACAUCUCAGUUAUUUUUGGGGAUACUUUUGGCUUUGGAGAAAGGGAAAAAGUAGUCAAGGGAGGAGGAGUCUCAGGAGAAAGAAGGGAUGAGAAGAGAGGAAAAAGAGUUGUGAAUAUCUCAAUCAGUGACUAGGUGACCUCUGACCCUGAGGGUGGUUUUAUUGUCUUUCUUCUUUGGCUAGAGAUACACAGUUUAUUGACCCUUUCUGCGUGACUGAGCCCUCAGGGGCAACGACAGCUCCAAACCAAGCCAGGCAUGUGAGGCCAGGAAGCCUGAGGGAAGUGACCCCAAUUCCCUAGGCCUGAGGGGGUUGGAGGGACAGAGAGAUGGACUCCCUCCCAACUCAACUGCCCCUCCUCAGUGAGGGCCUAGCGUUCACCCAGCUCCUCUUCUUGCCCAGAAACGCUACCCUCCCUUUCUUCCCAGGACAAAUGCCAUCAGCUGGUAGACUUGGGCAAAACAUUUAUGCUCCUUCUCUGCACUCUUCCCCUUUAAACUAUAAAGAUAUGUUAUUAUAAAGAUUCCAGGGUGGGCCAGGCAUGGUGGCUCACGCCUGUAAUCCCAGCACAUUGGGAGGCCUAGGUGAGUGGAUCACUUGAGGUCAGGAGUUCAAGACCAGCCUGGCCAACAUGGUGAAAC